rnacentral:rRNA from 1 species
AUUGAACGCUGGCGGCAUGCCUUACACAUGCAAGUCGAACGGUAACAGGUCUUCGGAUGCUGACGAGUGGCGAACGGGUGAGUAAUACAUCGGAACGUGCCUAGUAGUGGGGGAUAACUACUCGAAAGAGUGGCUAAUACCGCAUGUGAUCUACGGAUCAAAGCAGGGGAUCGCAAGACCUUGUGCUACUAGAGCGGCCGAUGGCAGAUUAGGUAGUUGGUGGGAUAAAAGCUUACCAAGCCGACGAUCUGUAGCUGGUCUGAGAGGACGAUCAGCCACACUGGGACUGAGACACGGCCCAGACUCCUACGGGAGGCAGCAGUGGGGAAUUUUGGACAAUGGGCGCAAGCCUGCUCCGGCAAUGCCGCGUGAAGGAUGAAGGCCUUCGGGUUGUAAACUGCUUUUGUACGGAACGAAAAGCCCUGGGUUAAUACCCUGGGGUCAUGACGGUACCGUAAGAAUAAGCACCGGCUAACUACGUGCCAGCCGCCGCCGUAACAC